rnacentral:lncRNA from 1 species
AUAUAUCUAUAUAUGACUUCAGAACAGACAUACCAAUACACGGAUUGCCUUGUGAAAUUGAAGUUUCUCUUUAAUAAGCCAUCACUGACAGGCAAUUAUUCAGAAAGGAACCGAAGACUGGAUUAUUCUUCCCCAAACUGUAGGAACUGGAAAAGGAUGCAGAAGCUUUAGUGACUGCUUACAUAACUGAUCUCUGAAGUAAAACUGAGUGAGUGAGUAAGUAUAUUAAUUUCUUAGAUGGUGUAGCACAUUGAUUCCAAAAAUAGGAGGGUGCGUCCCUGUAGUGUGACAUGAUGUAACACCAGUAGCAUGACUUUUGGAGAUGAAUUGCCUCAAGUUAAGAAAUCUCCGUAGAUGCAAUCUCUGCUGAUAACAUCUGUAGUGAAAUCUUAAUGUGAGGUAAUUUGUCUCCAAAGUUACACUGCUAGUGUAACGCCAGCUUAACUACCAAAGCUGUAAGUGGCAAUUUUGAUAUGUGUGGCUUUGGUGCCCAAUUGGUUGUCACGUGAAAUUAGCAUAUGGGGGAUAUGAUAGAGGAAAACCAGAGGAAUGCCUGGAUAUGUGCAAUGGUGUCUAGUAUGUGGCCUUAUUCUCAUUGAAACUGCCUGUUUUAUGUUUCCAUCUGCAUAAGGAGGAGGAGUUGGAGGCAGAAUAAGUGCUGGGGUGGCAGGUUCACCUGCAACAGUCUUUGCACCUUCUACAGUUUGGUACCCCAGAUCAAAACCUUAGGCUUCCUGCUCUAGUUA